rnacentral:rRNA from 1 species
UACGUAGGUGGCAAGCGUUGUCCGGAAUUACUGGGCGUAAAGCGCGCGUAGGUGGUUUGGUAAGAUGGAUGUGAAAUCCCCGGGCUCAACCUGGGAACUGCAUCCAUAACUGCCUGACUAGAGUACGGUAGAGGGUGGUGGAAUUUCCUGUGUAGCGGUGAAAUGCGUAGAUAUAGGAAGGAACACCAGUGGCGAAGGCGACCACCUGGAUUGACCCUGACACUGAGGCGCGAAAGCGUGGGGAGCAAACAGG